CUAGUGCAAAAUAGCUAUGUAUAAUGGUGUUUUGUAACUUAACUCUUCCCUCCUCGUAGUGUUCAACAGGUCGCGAGGGCAUUCUAUAGAGAGGAAGAACUAUAUUGAGGACCUUCAGAAGGGCCCCAUGAGAAUGAACCAUGCUGCAGAUGGACUAGGAUUUGAUUUAAUCAAAGGACAAAGCAGCAUGGCACCAAAUUUGGAUUUCCAAUUAGCUGGAUCUCAUCCGUAUUCACAGCAGCUCCCGCUGGCAGACAGCAGGCUCUCCCCUUCUUGGCGAGGAAAGAGAGGAAAAAGAGAACAAAGAGCCCUGUACCCUGUCAGGAAUUUCCACGGGGUUUACGACAAUGGGAGAUCUGCUUAUUACAAGGAAUGUGUCCCUACAGCCAACCUGGCCCAGCAGACACCCCCUUACAACUUGGGACCUGUCAACUACCCUGUUCCCCUACCUUAUAACAAACAGCAUAGUGGUUACAAUGGACCGUACUUUCCAGUGCAAAAUCCUCAUUAUAUACAACGGGAAACAUAUAAAACGAAAAUGUUCAGCAGACCCAAAAGGAAUCACUAUACAUAUUAAUGUGAGGAGCUCAUCUGGUGGAAGAACUUGAUAGUGUGGUAUAUGGAGUCCCCUCUGUGCAGUUUUUUUAAUCUAGACACUUUAUUCGAGAAUGAGUCUUCUAUUCAUUCUAAUACCUUUGCUGUGGUGCCCAUUGCUGGCCAAUUGCCAGUCAGGAAACACAAAGGAAGGAAUCAUUAAUUUUAACAUUGAGACUGUUUUUAAGUUUUAUUUUUCUUAACCAUCUCCACAACAAACCCUUACCUUUUUACUGUAUUGAAAUAUUGUGACAUCCAUGUUAAAAUGACUUAUCAAGCUCUAAAUGGACACCCAAGAUAAAUAUGGACCCAAAUUGACUAGGUGGUUUCCAUGAGAAGUGUCAUGUGCAUUGUUUAAACUCUAAGGAAAUUGUGUUUUGAACGAAUGCCUUCCCCUGUAGUUGUUUAUAACCAAAGCAUAGCAUGGCAAUACCUGGAAAGGUAACCAAAGUGAAAUUGAAUAGUAGAGCAAGCCAGAGAUCAGCCUUUCCAUCCUGUGAAAAAAUCUCAAAUUUUUGAGAACUUUCACCCAAAUGAUCAAAUUAAAAAAGCUUCAUGGGAAGGAUAGACUGAAAAAAUCCCACUUGAUUGAUUUUUCCCACAGAAUUCUUUGGCUUGCUGCCCAGCUCCCUAUGAAGUCUGAUUUCUGGUUGCCUGUUUUCCAUCAAAGAUCUGUCUAAAUUGAUAGGUUUCUACAGAAUGUUUCAAUUUUGAUGAUUGGCAUUUUGCUGAAGAAAAACCUUCAGCUGGAAAACUUUGGACCAGUUCUAUUUAAUAGCCUAACUUUUCCAUUCUUCAAGAGGAGCAAAAUCUAGUGUCAUCAUUUUCAUUUUAUGUUGUUUUAAACAUGUUUUUAACCUUAAUAUUCUCCUAAAUGUAACAGGUGAGGGACUGGGUGGCUCUAGGAAGCCUAAAGGUUGGUUAUUCAGAUUGAAAUUGAAUGUCAGCAAGGUCAUUGCUCCUUAUCCACUACUUGUGAGAGAGGUGAUUGAUAACCAUGGUGGUCUGCAACAGUCUAUGUGGCAGUCUCACAGAGGCUGAGGAUGGAAGCAGAGACUACCUCCUUACUGCAGAGCUCAGCAUGGAGACAUGUUGUCAUUUAUGUCCAGGAGACUUGUAUUAACUGUUCCUGCUCUGUGGGGAAACGGAAACUGAUCUCCAGGGCUUUCAGCCUGGCACUUCAUUUUACCAGCAGUACAUUGACAAGGAUGUUCAAAGCAAGUUGCUUGUGCCCAUUUAGUGAGGCUAACAUCGUGGUCCUAGUUCUGUGAGAACAUGGAAAGGAUAGUGUCACUCAAGCUUUGUCUUCACUGCUUAAAAAGGGGAUUUCUUUGCAGCAAGAUGAAAAAUGCAGGGAAGUUCUUACUGUAAUAUCCUAAGUGGAGAAAAGGCACUUGUGUUUUCUGUAAGGUAGCCUGGCAAGGUCUGCACCGUACUUCUACCUGGAAUUGACCACAUCGAGUUUCUCACAGUAAAACUGAAGCGCCUUGUUUUUUGCAGCAGAAUAUGUAAUCCAUGUUAUCCUAUGAGAGAAGCAACUGUGUGUCAGUGAAGACAAACCCUGAGCAUGGGUUUGCUCUGUGAAUUAAUAGCCAACGUGUCCUCUACCAGGAACAGGAUUCUGAACCUGACAUGAUUGGUUCUUGAUUAGGAUAACUUUGCUGAUGCACACUGAAAACUACUCUAAAUUAAAGUGUGUUCAUUACAGGGCCAUAGUCCUUGAAUAAGAGAAAUCAAGUCUUCUCCCUAACCUGAGAGCUUCAGGUGGACAGGAUUGCAUGUGCCUUGGCAUCAUGAUUUCAUUCCUUGUUCAGUUGCUGGUUGGCUUAUGCAGUAAAGCUCCUCACACUUAGGCAAUCUGAGAGCAAGAACUGACCAGUGGUUUGGAAGGUAAGUCAACAGUCUGCAGCUUCCUCAGGAAUAUCAAUUCUUGUAUUUAAGUUAUUCACAUCUCUGUGGAGGUAUUGUUUGCUGCAGUCAGUGAAAGUUUAUUUUAAAUUGGAAGUAAAGUUUAAGCUUAAACUGUAUUAAUGAGCUUUUGCUCCUGAAGUGCUUCAUAAACUUCUUGUGCAUUUUAUAAAUGACUCUAGCUAGCUAUCCUUUGCUUGCCUUUUAGGUGCAGCAGGUUGUAAUAAUAAAACGUGGU
ensembl:lncRNA